UCCUGAAGGAACGUUAAAGACGAUGACGUUGAUAGGCCGGGUGUGUAAGCGCAGCGAUGCGUUGAGCUAACCGGUACUAAUGAACCGUGAGGCUUAACCUUAC
rnacentral:rRNA from 1 species